GAUGAAGAACGCAGUGAAAUGCGAUAAGUAAUGUGAAUUGCAGAAUUCAGUGAAUCAUCGAAUCUUUGAACGCACAUUGCGCCCGCCAGCAUUCUGGCGGGCAUGCCUGUUCGAGCGUCAUUUCAACCCUCGAGCCCCCCUGGGGGCCUCGGUGUUGGGGGACGGCACACCAGCCGCCCCCGAAAUGCAGUGGCGACCCCGCCGCAGCCUCCCCUGCGUAGUAGCACACACCUCGCACCGGAGCGCGGAGGCGGUCACGCCGUAAAACGCCCAACUUUCUUAGAGUUGACCUCGGAUCAGGUAGGAAUACCCGCUGAACUUAAGCAUAUAAUAAGCGGAGGA
rnacentral:misc_RNA from 1 species